CGCUGGCGGCGUGCCUAACACAUGCAAGUCGAACGGACUUGACGGAAGCUUGCUUUUGUACAAGUUAGUGGCGGACGGGCGAGUAACGCGUGAGCAACCUGCCCUUCAGUGGGGAAUAACGACCGGAAACGGUCGCUAAUACCGCAUAACGUGUCCUGAUGGCAUCAUCGGGAUACCAAAGGAGCAAUUCGCUGAAGGAUGGGCUCGCGUCCGAUUAGCUAGUUGGUGGGGUAAACGGCCCCACCAAGGCGACGAUCGGUAGCCGAACUGAGAGGUUGAUCGGCCGCAUUGGGACUGAGACACGGCCCAGACUCCUACGGGAGGCAGCAGUGGGGGAUAUUGGGCAAUGGGCGAAAGCCUGAUGCAGCAACGCCGCGUGAGGGAUGACGGUUUUCGGAUUGUAAACCUCUGUUUUUGGCCAUGAAAAAAAUGACUAGCCAAGGUAGGAAGCCACGGCUAACUACGUG
rnacentral:rRNA from 1 species